rnacentral:rRNA from 1 species
GGGUGGCGGCGUGCCUAAUACAUGCAAGUCGAGCGAACGGACGAGAAGCUUGCUUCUCUGAUGUUAGCGGCGGACGGGUGAGUAACACGUGGAUAACCUACCUAUAAGACUGGGAUAACUUCGGGAAACCGGAGCUAAUACCGGAUAAUAUUUUGAACCGCAUGGUUCAAAAGUGAAAGACGGUCUUGCUGUCACUUAUAGAUGGAUCCGCGCUGCAUUAGCUAGUUGGUAAGGUAACGGCUUACCAAGGCAACGAUGCAUAGCCGACCUGAGAGGGUGAUCGGCCACACUGGAACUGAGACACGGUCCAGACUCCUACGGGAGGCAGCAGUAGGGAAUCUUCCGCAAUGGGCGAAAGCCUGACGGAGCAACGCCGCGUGAGUGAUGAAGGUCUUCGGAUCGUAAAACUCUGUUAUUAGGGAAGAACAUAUGUGUAAGUAACUGUGCACAUCUUGACGGUACCUAAUCAGAAAGCCACGGCUAACUACGUGCCAGCAGCCGCGGUAAUACGUAGGUGGCAAGCGUUAUCCGGAAUUAUUGGGCGUAAAGCGCGCGUAGGCGGUUUUUUAAGUCUGAUGUGAAAGCCCACGGCUCAACCGUGGAGGGUCAUUGGAAACUGGAAAACUUGAGUGCAGAAGAGGAAAGUGGAAUUCCAUGUGUAGCGGUGAAAUGCGCAGAGAUAUGGAGGAACACCAGUGGCGAAGGCGACUUUCUGGUCUGUAACUGACGCUGAUGUGCGAAAGCGUGGGGAUCAAACAGGAUUAGAUACCCUGGUAGUCCACGCCGUAAACGAUGAGUGCUAAGUGUUAGGGGGUUUCCGCCCCUUAGUGCUGCAGCUAACGCAUUAAGCACUCCGCCUGGGGAGUACGACCGCAAGGUUGAAACUCAAAGGAAUUGACGGGGACCCGCACAAGCGGUGGAGCAUGUGGUUUAAUUCGAAGCAACGCGAAGAACCUUACCAAAUCUUGACAUCCUUUGACAACUCUAGAGAUAGAGCUUUCCCCUUCGGGGGACAAAGUGACAGGUGGUGCAUGGUUGUCGUCAGCUCGUGUCGUGAGAUGUUGGGUUAAGUCCCGCAACGAGCGCAACCCUUAAGCUUAGUUGCCAUCAUUAAGUUGGGCACUCUAAGUUGACUGCCGGUGACAAACCGGAGGAAGGUGGGGAUGACGUCAAAUCAUCAUGCCCCUUAUGAUUUGGGCUACACACGUGCUACAAUGGACAAUACAAAGGGCAGCGAAACCGCGAGGUCAAGCAAAUCCCAUAAAGUUGUUCUCAGUUCGGAUUGUAGUCUGCAACUCGACUACAUGAAGCUGGAAUCGCUAGUAAUCGUAGAUCAGCAUGCUACGGUGAAUACGUUCCCGGGUCUUGUACACACCGCCCGUCACACCACGAGAGUUUGUAACACCCGAAGCCGGUGGAGUAACCUUUUAGGAGCUAGCCGUCGAAGGUGGGACAAAUGAUUGGGGUGAAGUCGUAACAAGGUAGCCGUAUCGGAAGGUGCGGCUG